rnacentral:rRNA from 1 species
GGAAAAGAAACCAACAGGGAUUGCCCUAGUAACGGCGAGUGAAGCGGCAACAGCUCAAAUUUGAAAUCUGGCUUCGGCCCGAGUUGUAAUUUGCAGAGGAUGCUUCUGGCGCGGUGCCUUCCGAGUUCCCUGGAACGGGACGCCACAGAGGGUGAGAGCCCCGUAUGGUCGGACACCAAGCCUGUGUGAAGCUCCUUCGACGAGUCGAGUAGUUUGGGAAUGCUGCUCUAAAUGGGAGGUAAAUCCCUUCUAAAGCUAAAUACCGGCCAGAGACCGAUAGCGCACAAGUAGAGUGAUCGAAAGAUGAAAAGCACCUUGAAAAGGGGGUUAAAUAGUACGUGAAAUUGUUGAAAGGGAAGCACUUGUGACCAGACUUGGGCCGGGCGGCUCAUCAGGGGUUCUCCCCUGUGCACUCCGCCCGGCACAGGCCAGCAUCGGUUCUCGUGGGGGGAUAAGACCGUUAGGAACGUAGCACCCUCCGGGGUGUGUUAUAGCCUGGCGGACGAUACCCCCGUGGGGACCGAGGUUCGCGCUCCGCAAGGAUGCUGGCGUAAUGGUCACCAGUGACCCGUCUU